AUUGAACGCUGGCGGCAGGCUUAACACAUGCAAGUCGAGCGAGCGGCGGACGGGUGAGUAAUGUCUGGGAAACUGCCUGAUGGAGGGGGAUACCUACUGGAAACGGUAGCUAAUACCGCAUACCAUCAGAUGUGCCCAGAUGGGAUUAGCUAGUAGGUGGGGUAAUGGCUCACCUAGGAGACGAUCCCUAGCUGGUCUGAGAGGAUGACCAGCCACAGUGGAACUGAGACACGGUCCAGAAUCCUACGGGAGGCAGCAGUGGGGAAUAUUGCACAAUGGGCGCAAGCCUGAUGCAGCCAUGCCGCGUGUGUGAAGAAGGCCUUCGGGUUGUAAAGCACUUUCAGCGAGGAGGCGUUACCCUCAGAAGAAGCACCGGCUAACUCCGUGCCAGCCGCCGCGGUAAUUC
rnacentral:rRNA from 1 species